rnacentral:lncRNA from 1 species
GAACACCCUGAUCAGAUUAUUAAUCAGCCGUGAGAAAGUGGAGAUUUAAAACAGGAGGUGGCAGCCUUGAGUAGCAACUCAGUGCUGUCUCUGCCUAGUUAGGCUCAGAUCCAAAUGGAGUCAGAGCUGGGCACAAACAGCUCAGCAUCUCAGCCCUUUUUCUGAAACAUCACUACGGCAAGCAGCCCGGAUAGUGAAGAUGGCAACAACUAGCUUUGUCGGUGUUGCUUGAUGCAUGUGAAAAGUCUUCAUUUGAAAGUUUGCUAAGCAACAAAUCCUUCAAAUAGAACAGCUUCAACUCUGCUCUGCCUUGAAAGCACACAUUCAUGAAGAAACUGGAGAGCUGCUUCAUCAGUGCCAAUCCAGUCUGUGGUUGGUCUCAUGAAAAGGCUCUUACUGAUGAAUUGGUGCAGCUACCCUCCCAGACAUGGAAGAAUACCUCAUACAAAAAAAUCCAUAGGUGACUAAUAGGUGUGGCAGACACCAGCCCUGAAGGUACAUGAAGAAUGUCCCCCAAACUGGCAUCUGAUACUGUUCCCUGCAUUGGAUCCUGUUAGCAGGGAAACAAGUGAGGCGUCUCUGACCUCCCAGUGUUCAGGACAAACCACAAAUAACCCCUGAAGGCAGGAGGAGGGACAGGACAGAAU